AAUAAACGCGUGGCGGCGUGCCUAACACAUGCAAGUCGAACGAGAAAGCCAUGACUUCGGUUGGGCGAGUAAAGUGGCGCACGGGUGAGUAACGCGUAGGCAACCUACCUUGAAUUUGGGAUAACAGUGCGAAAGUGCUGCUAAUACCGGAUACGACCCUUUUGUGCUGGGCAAAAGGGUGAAAGUCGGCCACUGGAACAAGCCGACGUUCGGGGAUGGGCCUGCGUCCUAUCAGCUGGUUGGUAGGUAACGGCCUACCAAGGCGACGACGGGUAGCUGGUCUGAGAGGAUGAUCAGCCACACUGGCACUGGAACACGGGCCAGACUCCUACGGGAGGCAGCAGUGAGGAAUUUUGCGCAAUGGCCGCAAGGCUGACGCAGCAACGCCGCGUGGGUGAAGAAGGCCUUCGGGUCGUAAAGCCCUGUCAGGUGGGAAGAACGACACGGGGAGGAAUAUGCUCUGUGAGUGACGGUACCACCAGAGGAAGCACCGGCUAACUCCGUG
rnacentral:rRNA from 1 species